AUUGAUGCUCUACAAUAUAAAUUUGUUUUCAGGGGGAGGACCCCCAGACCCCUCUUGGUUGACCUCCCUAUAAAUGGUCAGCCGUCUAAUUUUUCUAAAUAGCCUCCUACUCCUGAAAAGUUAGAACUCCCUGCAUCUUUAUGUUUACACAAACAAUAUGACAUUAAAGUUGCAGUAUGUAGUUUCUUGAAAGCCCAGAACUUAGAAAAUUUUUGAAGAGAUACAACCUUCAAGUCCCUCCCCCCUGCUCUCAGCCCACCUUCCUAAGCUCCUCCCCCACAGCAGUACCCUCAGCCAGGAGCGCGCUGCGCGCAUGCUUGUAAACAGCAAGAGUGCAGACCGUAACGUAACACAGAGCUCAGAGCUAAGCACCCGUCACAGCUAGUUUUUGACAAUCAAUGGGCUCCAAACAGAACGUCAUCUACCAGCUGAUGGACAGGGAAGCUGUGUGCUGGAAAAUCACGCAGGCCACGUGGGAGAUGCAGCAGAGUGGCUUCAGGUCCUGAGAACCUCAGCAAGACAUCUGCAUCUCAACCCUACCUUCCACGCAUCAAGGCUGCGAGUGUAGACUUCCAGGACUGUUUUAAACCUCUUCAUGGACAAUAAAGUGGAUUUAUUUCCUUGAGGCUAUACAUUUUUUAAAACUGUCUUGCCAUGUAUAAAAGAUUUUCCUAUUUAAAUUAUUAUUUCUAUUAGAAUUUUGGUAAAUAUUCUUCAAUAAAGUGUUAAAUGGUUUUAGUUUUUGGUAACUGCUUAUUAGUUAGAACUAAAGCAUCACUUUACCAUUGAACAUUACUGAAUUAUCUUUUGAUCAAUUACAAAACACAAACUUACAUUAGGAAUCAUGAUAAAUCACUGGGUCAGUGCUAGACAUGC